AGUCGUAACAAGGUAUCCGUAGGUGAACCUGCGGAUGGAUCAUUACCAAAGGACAUACUAUGUCACUUUACGUCAUGUGAACAGUUUAGGGGUUUGGGUUAGGGUGUCGGAGAGUGUGUGUGUGUGUGUGUGUGUGUGUGUGUUGGUGUUUGCACAGACGCGCGCUCUCUGGCCCCUUGCUGUGAAUCUACGUAAUAAUUUUUGAACUGAAGUCUGCCAUAAUUGAGAUUAGUGAAAACUAAAAACAACUUUUAGCAACGGAUCUCUUGGCUCUC
rnacentral:misc_RNA from 1 species